rnacentral:rRNA from 23 species
ACCUGCGGAGGAUCAUUA